rnacentral:tRNA from 1 species
AUCUAAAUAGUUUAAUUUAAAAUAUUGAUUUGUGGGGUCAAAGAUGUAAUAAUUUACUUUAGAUA